rnacentral:rRNA from 1 species
UGGGGAAUUUUGGACAAUGGGCGCAAGCCUGAUCCAGCCAUGCCGCGUGAGUGAAGAAGGCCUUCGGGUUGUAAAGCUCUUUCGGCGGGGAAGAAAUUGCACUGGCUAAUACCUGGUGUAGAUGACGGUACCCGCAUAAGAAGCACCGGCUAACUACGUGCCAGCAGCCGCGGUAAUACGUAGGGUGCGAGCGUUAAUCGGAAUUACUGGGCGUAAAGCGUGCGCAGGUGGUUGUGUAAGUCAGAUGUGAAAUCCCCGGGCUCAACCUGGGAACUGCAUUUGAGACUGCACGGCUAGAGGAUGGCAGAGGGGGGUAGAAUUCCACGUGUAGCAGUGAAAUGCGUAGAGAUGUGGAGGAAUACCGAUGGCGAAGGCAGCCCCCUGGGCUAUUUCUGACACUCAUGCACGAAAGCGUGGGGAGCAAACA